UACUGGAUGGAUAUUUUAAAGGAAAAACAA
rnacentral:piRNA from 1 species